rnacentral:lncRNA from 1 species
AUAUAUAUAUAACUACGCUGGAAUGCUAUCAAUAGCACCAAGUAUUUAGUGCUAUCAAGUUUUUUCGUCUUGGAUGAAAAAAUGUACGGUUAAAAUGAUGUGGGCACUUUAGGAUUGAGUGAGUUGUUGGUUGAAUAGUAUAAUCUAACGGAUAAAAAUAGUUAAAGGGUUAAAUCUAACGGUGAAAAACUUGGUAGCACAAAGUGCUUUGUGUUUUCGAUAAUAUCCUAGCCGGACUAUAUAUAUAUAUAUAAUUGAGCUCCUAUGCUUUUAAAAGUACCAAGUAAUUGGUACUUGUAAGUUUUCGGUCCUUGGAUUAAGAAAUGUACGGUUAGGAUGAUGUGGGCCUCCUAAGGUUGAGUGGAUAGUUGGUUGAAUAGUAUAAUCUAACGGUUGAAAAUGAUUAAAGACGUAAAUCUAACGGUAAAAAAUUUACAAGUACCAUCUGUUUGGUGUUUUUACAACCUUUAUAGCCGGACUCAUAUAUAUAUAUAUAUAUAUAUAUAUAUAUAUAUAUAUAUAUAUAUAUAUAUAU